rnacentral:lncRNA from 1 species
AUGAUAACAAGCGAUUUGGUUUUGUUGUUGACGGGGGUUAGAGGAAAGGAAGAAAAAUAAAAGGGGAGAGAGGGGGAGAACGAAGAAGAGAGGGAAGUAAUAGAGAGUUGUUGAGAAGAAACAGAGUGAGGAGAAGGAGGGAGGGAGGGACAAAGUUUGGUAUUUGAGGGCUUGCACGUUUUGGGUGAACUUCUUCGUUGGAAGAAGUUGAUCUUGGAAUACUGCAAUUGAACAAGUGAGAAUUUAAUCUUGGUGAUGGGGCUGUGCCGUGGGAUUAAGAUUAGGUGAAGAGGAUGUCUUUCUUGGUGUUUUGAUCUCUAAGGUUGCUUUGGAGUGUUAAUCUUUCUUGGUGUUUUGAUCGGUAUUCCUUUUUGCCCAAAUUUGCUUAUUAUGUCUGAAAGUGGUUGUGGCUAUUGAUGUUAAGGUUUGUAAUUUCUUGCAGAAAGUUACAAACCCAUGUUUAGUUUUUGACUUUGGAAUUAGUUUGUAUAGUAUUUCCACUUUGAAUAUUGUUUUGACUGUCAAUAUUAACCGAUAGCGCAUUGUGAUCAUGGUCUAAUUGCUUUAGUUGUAAAAACUGUCUUUGAUAACUGAUUUAUGCAGAAUAAUUGAAAUAAAACUGAAUUGAUUGAUAUAUGUGCAUUUUCUUGUUAUCGUUGAUAUAGAUGGACACAUUCUCAUUAUC